rnacentral:lncRNA from 1 species
UUUUUAAAAAAAAAAUUUGGGGGGGGGGCUGCACCCUCGACAUUUGGAGGUUCCCAGGCUACGAAUCUGCCAGCUUACACCACAGCCAUAGCAAUGUGGGAUCCAGGCUGAGUCUCUGAUCUAUACCACAGCUCAUGGCAACCCCGGAUCCUUAACCCACUUAGGGGAGCAAGGGAUCAAACCUUCGUCCUCAUAGAUGCUAGUCAGACUCUUUCCGCUGAGCCAUAAUGGAAACUCCAAAAGACUAAUAUUUCUGUAAGAGAACUCCUUUGAGGAGUUCCUGUUGUGGCUCAGCAGGAACAAACCUGACUGGUGUCCAUGAGAAUGCAGGUUUGAUCCCUGGCCUUGUUCAGUGGGUUAAGGAUCUGGCGUUACUUUGAGCUGCAGGGUGUAGGUCAUAGACACAGCUUAUAUCCGGUGUUGCUGUGGCAUAGGCUGGCAGCUGCAGCUCCGACUCGACUCGUAGCUUGGGAACUUACAUAUGUUGCAUGUGCAGCCCUGAAAAAGAAAAAGAAAAAAGAAAAAAAAAGAAAGAAUAAAUGAUAUAAAGAAAGAGAAAGAAAGAACUCCUUUGAUUGCAUGGACAGAAAGUUUAUGAGCCAAGCCUGUGAUCAGCGAUCACAAUAAAGAUCUCAGGUUUCUGUUAUUGCUGGAAAAUGUUCACAGCAGUACCAGUAGGAAUCAGACCAUGGAAAGACAUUUUGAUAGAGCAGGAUCUACUUUAAAGAAUCUAAGACCUUAGAUGUCCUUUCCUGCAGUAUCACCUCUUUUAAGCCAUAAAUUUUAAAAAUUAUUAAGGGUUGAAUUGUAUCCCUCUCUACCCCUCCCCAAAACAAAACCCCCUUACUCCGAAGUCCUAAUCCCCAGUGCCUCAGAAUAUAACCUUAUUUGGAAAUAGGCCUCCAGGACUGUGAGACAAUGCAUUUCCGCUAUUUAAGCCACCCAGUUGUAGUGUUUUAUUAUGGCAGCCCUAGCAAAUUAAUGCAAACAUGAAGUGGUCCAUGUCCAUCCUAUCCUAGCAAAUAAACAUCUUCCCUUGUUUUGAUGACAUAAUCCUGUUGCAUUCAAGCAUCAGCUUAAAAAGGAAAUAGACAUCAUUAACCAUCAAGGAAAUAAAAACCACAUUGAGAUACCACUUCAAACCCAAUAUGAUGUCUGUAAUAAACGAGUUAGAUAAUAACAAGUAUUGAGGAUGUGGAGAAACUGGAAUCAUCAUUUACUACCCAUGGUAAUAUAAAAUGGCACAGCUGUUUUGGAAAAACUGCCAGCGCCCCAGAUGCUUAAAUAUUUAAAUGAUAUAAACAUUAAAUUACCGUAUGAAUUUAUAUAUAUAUAUUUAUAUACCUAGGAAUUCCAGUCUAGGUAUAUAACCUAGAGAAAAGAAAAUGUGAGUCUACAUAAAACUUGUACAUGAAUGUUCAUAGCAGUAUUACUCAUGAUAGAGAUGAGGUAAACACGAUCAAAAUGUCCAUUGAUGGAUGAAUGGAUAAACAAAAUGUGGUACAUACAUAGUGUGGAAAUUGAAUGAGAGCAACAUAAAGUACUGAUUCAUGCUGUAACGUGGAUGAACCUAGAAAACAUUCUGCAUAAAAGAAGACAGUCACAAAAGACCACAUAUUGUGUGAUCUCAUGUGUAUGAAAUGUCCAAAAUAAGCAAUCUGAAGAGACACCAAGUAAAUUAGUGGUUGCCUAGGUUUGGGCAAAUAUGGGGGAUUAAGGGGAUGGUGAUUAAGGGGAGUAAGGUUGCUUUUGGGGUAAUGAAAAUAUUCUUAAAUUGAUUGUCAUGAAGGUUUUACUACUCAGUGAAUACAUGAAAAGCCAUUGAAUUAGGAGUUCCCGUUGUGGUGCAGCAGAAACUAAUCCACCUAGGAAGCAUGAGGUUGUAGGUUGGAUCCCUGGCCUUGCUCAGUGGGUUAAAGAUCCAGCAUUGCUGUGAGCUGUGGUGUAAGUCACAAUGGGGCUCAGAUAUGGUGUUGCUGUGGCUGUGGUGUAAGCUGGCUGCUGCUGCUCCAAUUAGAUGCCUAAGCCUGGGAACCUCCAUAUGUUGCAGGGGUUGCCCUGAAAACAAAAACAAAACAAAAUGCCAUUGAAUUAGACACUUUAAAUAGGUGAAUUAUAUUUCAAUAAAGAAAUUUUUUAAAAAUGGAAGACAGGUGAAAAAUUAUAAGGAGCAACAAUUGAUUGAUCAUUUAUUAUACUUGCUAUAAUUUAGGUACUUUUUUAAAUACUAGAUGUGAAAAAUGAUUAGGAGACUUAGGUUCCUUCUUACUUGUAGAGACAGAAUCAUUUAACAGCUAGCUUUAAUAAAAAUCAGGAGUUCCUGUCGUGGCACAGCAGAAACCAAUCGGACUAGGAACCAAGAGGUUGCGGGUUCAAUCCCUGGCCUCGCUCAGUGGGUUAAGGGUCUGGCAUUGCUGUGAGCUGUGGCUCAGAUCCCACGUUGCUGUGACUAUGGCGUAGGCUGGCAGUUGUAGCUCCAAUUCUGCCCCUAGCCGGGGAACCUCCGUAUGCCUCUGGUGCAGCCCUGAAAAGCAAAAAUAAAUAAAUAAUUAAAACAAAAAUCAAAAUUGUUAUUUGAAUUCAGAUGGGGGUGGAAUGAUUAAAUUCCUCUGCUUAGGUUCUCUAGAUCUUAAAAUUUUAUCAGAUACCUAUAUACCUAGAUCAUAUUGCUGAACUUUCCUUAUAAAAAUGUAAUUUACCUUCAUAGAAAAGGUGCCACUGUUUAAAGGUUGAGAAGCUUAAGACACAGACUAAAAUCUCCAGCUUUUAUUUCUUUUUCUUUCUCUAUUUUUUUCUUUUUUUUUUCUUGUCUUAUCUUUUUAGGGCUACACCUUCGGCAUUUGAAUGUUCCUAGGCUAGGGGUUGAAUUGGAGAUGAAUCUGGACACUAUAGCUACAGCAAUGCUAGAUCUGAGCCACAUCCCCCACUUAUGCCGCAGCUUGAGAUAACACCAGAUCCUUAAUCCACUGAGCAAGGCUAGGGAUCAAACCUGCAUCUUCAGGGACACUAUGUUGGGUUCUUAACCCACCGAGCCACAGCAGGAACUCUGCCUUUUUUCUUCCUUAAUCAAUGACUUUUAAACCCGCCCUCCUUCACUCUGGUUUAGAGUCCUAGAACUGGGAAUCUAGGACAAGUGCUGUUUUUUCUCACUUACUGUAUGCUGCUAAUUAGCAAUAUUGUUAUCUGAAUAUAGUAUUAUUUUGUUUUUGUUUUACUUCUGGUUUUUCAUUUUGGGGGUUUUGUGGUUUUUUGGUUUUUUUUGUUUUUUUGCUUUACUAAUGUGGAAGUUAUGAGCUCUAUUUUAUUUCUUUUAGUGAUUACCCUUUUUUACAAUGCAUCUUUAAUAGAAGAUUAGUGUCCUGUUCUCCUUCCCAAACAACACCAAGGUCUUUGAACUCUUACCUCUCAUUUGUCUUCUGUUCCUUUAAUUAUAAGUGAUAGAAAUGCGAAGCAUACUAACCCAACAGAAGAGGAACUUCCUAACUUACAUGAAUGCUAAGUCCAGAAAUUAAGGAACACUUAGGUCCAGGCCCCAAACGGUAUAAUUUGACUCUUAUGUCCUCCCUACAGGCAUUCUGUGAACAACUUUAUCCAUUCGCCAGAAAAAAAUUGAGUGCCUAUAAAUUCUGCCUUACUUGGUCCUUGGAGAUCUUGGUCUCUAUAGGAAUGAGCUGGUGACAAGGAAGAUCUUAUGGCACAUCCUGAAUGAUCCAGCUUAAGUCACACCUUCAGCUCUGAACUGUGUCCAGUACUUUUUGUGUAUAGUAUAUGCCUAGGUCAUGUUCUCCCCCCUUGGGUUGGAAGUGGAGGUUCUUACACCUUGGGCUGGAAGUGGAGCCAGGGUACAGGGUAAGGCCACUGAGGAGUGAUAACAUGACCAGAGGAAAUAGAAAAACACCACAUUCGGUAGACAGAAAUAGCAGAAACCAUUAUGUAUGUAGUCAUCAUUCAUUGAACAAAAUACUGGACCCAUAUACGAAGGAAUGUAACAGUCCAAAAUAAAUUUUGACAUAAGAUCUUAGAAUGCAUUAAACCUAUAAUUCUUCAAAUUAAGACAUGGAGCGCUGGAGAAAUACACAUUUUUCAGUGCGGUAGAGUGAUUAAAUAAGUUGGGAUGUAUGGAUAAUAAAACCCUGGAAAUAUUGAAUUAUAGGUUAAUUAAUCAAAUGUUAUGCCAAUUCUUUAAGCACACAUCACUUUUCAUGUAUAAGUAAGGUAUAUUAUAUGGUGGCUAAGAUUGCAGACAGAUCAGUAGUAUCCAAUAGAACUUUGUACAGUGAUGGAAAUUUUCCAUCUUUGUACUGUCCAACAUGGUAGCCACUAGCCACAUAUGGCUGCUGAGCACAUUAAGAUGUGGCAGGGUGGAUUUCCCAUUGUGAUUUGGUAGGUUAAGAAUCCAGCUAGUAUGCCAGUUCGAUCCCUGGCCUUAGUGGGUUAAAGGAUCUGGUGUUGCUGUGAGCUAUGGUAUAGGUUGCAGAUGCAGCUCGGAUCCCACUUUGCUGUGGCAUAGGCUGGCAGCUGCAGCUCCAAUUAGACCUCUAGCCUGGUAACUUCCAUAUACCAUGGGUACAGCCCUAAAAAAAAAAAAA